rnacentral:rRNA from 1 species
UAAGACGAAGGGGGCUAGCGUUGUUCGGAAUUACUGGGCGUAAAGCGAGUGUAGGUGGUUGUCCAAGUUGGAUGUGAAAGCCUUGAGCUCAACUCAAGAAAUGCAUUCAGGACUGGGCGGCUAGAGGACCGGAGAGGAUAGUGGAAUUCCCAGUGUAGUGGUGAAAUACGUAGAGAUUGGGAAGAACACCAGUGGCGAAGGCGGCUAUCUG